GAAAUAAACAAGCGAGUGACGAGGUGUUGCGUGCGUCGGGUUGGCAGUCCCGUUGGCAAGGCAGACACGCCACUCGACCCGGCGCAGGGAGCGUGUGUUGCAGGUGAUGGCCGCUGUGCUUUCUUGACAGUGCUUUUCUCGAGAGCCCUAACAAGUUGUGAGUCCCCUGAGGUAACCUGAAGGAGCCUCGGGGAUCAUUGAGUCGUGUGGACGUGUGGCAUUGCUCGUGGUGGUGGGCGUGACGUGUGGGGAGCAAGGAAAGUUAUCUGCCCGCAGCCGCCUCCCUGACUGGUGGAUGCUGAGGAGGCGGGUGUCACGUAUACAGCUCGUGGGCAAGUAUCAGGUGAACGCAGAGUAAAGUGGCGCUCACAACCCCAGCAGUAAAGUAGCAGCGGCCGGCGACAUUAAAGUAAAAGUAGCAAGAGGGAACAGCAGGAGCUAAUGGUGACGAGAGGGAACACUGGCACGCGACGGGAAUACAUAUCAAGGAGCUGGAGGAAGAGGAGGAACAGGAGCAGGAGCAGGAGCAGGAGGACUUGGUGGUGAAGGUGUGUUCUCAUUAGUGGUAUUGAGAAGAAAGUUCCAAGGGGUCAGUCAGCCGAGGAGGAAUGUCGUCCUCGUGCCUGCGUGUGCAUGUCGAGUGUCUGGAGUGUCAGGCGUGCGUGGGGCGGCCUGGACCUCCCCACCUGGGACACACUGGUGCUCAGGGGCGUGGCAGGCUGAGGGAAUUUACCAGGAAGAACUUAACGAGUGUGAAAAGGGACCUUACUCGUUGCCUGGCGGGGAAGAGACAGACUGACAGGCGCUGGGGCGGACAAGGGCAGAGGAAGACAAGGGCAGGGCUAGACGGUGCGCAGCGGGACGGGUUGUUUAGAAGAGGAAGGAAAUCUGAUUAUGUUGU